UACGUAGGGGCCUAGCGUUGUCCGGAAUUAUUGGGCGUAAAGAGCUCGUAGGCGGUUUGUCGCGUCUGCCGUGAAAGUCCGGGGCUCAACUCCGGAUCUGCGGUGGGUACGGGCAGACUAGAGUGAUGUAGGGGGAGACUGGAAUUCCUGGUGUAGCGGUGAAAUGCGCAGAUAUCAGGAGGAACACCGAUGGCGAAGGCAGGUCUCUGGGCAUUACUGACGCUGAGGCACGAAAGCGUGGGGAGCAACAGG
rnacentral:rRNA from 1 species